rnacentral:rRNA from 1 species
AUGAACGCUGGCGGCGUGCCUAAUACAUGCAAGUCGAGCGAACAGAUGAGGAGCUUGCUCCUCUGACGUUAGCGGCGGACGGGUGAGUAACACGUGGAUAACCUACCUAUAAGACUGGGAUAACUUCGGGAAACCGGAGCUAAUACCGGAUAAUAUAUUUAACCGCAUGGUUCAAUAGUGUAAGACGGUUUUGCUGUUACUUAUAGAUGGAUCCGCGCCGCAUUAGCUAGUUGGUAAGGUAACGGCUUACCAAGGCAACGAUGCGUAGCCGACCUGAGAGGGUGAUCGGCCACACUGGAACUGAGACACGGUCCAGACUCCUACGGGAGGCAGCAGUAGGGAAUCUUCCGCAAUGGGCGAAAGCCUGACGGAGCAACGCCGCGUGAGUGAUGAAGGUCUUCGGAUCGUAAAACUCUGUUAUUAGGGAAGAACAAAUGUGUAAGUAACUAUGCACGUCUUGACGGUACCUAAUCAGAAAGCCACGGCUAACUACGUG